rnacentral:rRNA from 1 species
UACAGAGGUCGCUAGCGUUGUUCGGAUUUACUGGGCGUAAAGGGCACGUAGGCGGCAGGGCGUGUCGAGUGUGAAAUCUCCGGGCUCAACCCGGAAAGUGCGCUCGAGACUGCCUUGCUGGAGUACGGGAGAGGGAAGGGGAAUAUAGGGUGUAGCGGUGAAAUGCGUUGAUAUCCUAUAGAACACCGGAGGCGAAGGCGCCUUCCUGGAACGUUACUGACGCUAAGGUGCGAAAGUCGGGGGAGCAAAC